CCUACGGGAGGCAGCAGUGAGGAAUAUUGGUCAAUGGCCGGAAGGCUGAACCAGCCAUGCCGCGUGAAGGUCAGUGCCCUAUGGGCUUUUAACUUCUUUUGUGCGGGAGCAAUAAUGGUCACGUGUGGCCAGACGAGAGUACCCUACGAAUAAGCAUCGGCUAACUCCGUGCCAGCAGCCGCGGUAAUACGGGGGAUGCAAACGUUAUCCGGAUUUAUUGGGGUUAAAGGGUGCGUAGGCUGGGAUGUAAGUCAGCGGUGAAAUGCUCCCGCACAACGGGGUGAAGUGCAAUUGAUACUGCCUGGCUGGAAUGUGGAUGACGUGGGAGGAAUGUGUGGUGUAGCGGUGAAAUGCAUAGAUAUCACGCAGAACACCGAUUGCGAAGGCAUCUCACGAAUCCGCGAUUGACGCUGAUGCACGAAAGCGUGGGUAUCAAACAGGAUUAGAUACCCCUGUAGUC
rnacentral:rRNA from 1 species